CUCAGAUUGAACGUGGCGGCAGGCCCUAACACAAUGAAAGUCGAGCGGAUGAGUGGAGCUGCUCCAGGAUUCAAGCGGCGGACGGGUGAGUAAUGCCUAGGAAUCUGCCUGGUAGUGGGGGAUAACGUUUUGAAAGGAACGCUAAUACCGCAUACGUCCUACGGGAGAAAGUGGGGGAUCUUCGGACCUCACGCUAUCAGAUGAGCCUAGGUCGGAUUAGCUAGUUGGUGGGGUAAUGGCCCACCAAGGCGACGAUCCGUAACUGGUCUGAGAGGAUGAUCAGUCACACUGGAACUGAGACACGGUCCAGACUCCUACGGGAGGCAGCAGUGGGGAAUAUUGGACAAUGGGCGAAAGCCUGAUCCAGCCAUGCCGCGUGUGUGAAGAAGGUCUUCGGAUUGUAAAGCACUUUAAGUUGGGAGGAAGGGCAGUAAGUUAAUACCUUGCUGCUUUGACGUUACCAACAGAAUAAGCACCGGCUAACUUCGUGCCAGCAGCCGCGGUAAUACGAAGGGUGCAAGCGUUAAUCGGAAUUACUGGGCGUAAAGCGCGCGUAGGUGGUUCAGCAAGUUGGAUGUGAAAGCCCCGGGCUCAACCUGGGAAUUGCAUCCAAAACUACUGAGCUAGAGUACGGUAGAGGGUGGUGGAAUUUCCUGUGUAGCGGUGAAAUGCGUAGAUAUAGGAAGGAACACCAGUGGCGAAGGCGACCACCUGGACUGAUACUGACACUGAGGUGCGAAAGCGUGGGGAGCAAACAGGAUUAGAUACCCUGGUAGUCCACGCCGUAAACGAUGUCGACUAGCCGUUGGGAUCCUUGAGAUCUUAGUGGCGCAGCUAACGCGAUAAGUCGACCGCCUGGGAGACCAACUUUGC
rnacentral:rRNA from 1 species